GGUAAAAUUACUCCAGCACCACAUAAAGAUCUAAAAAAUGACAAGUCUGGUAAAAUUACUCCAGCACCACAUAAAGAUCUAAAAAAUGACAAGUCUGAUAAGACUACUUCAGCAGAGGUUAAAGGACCUACAGAUGACAAUUCCGGUAAA